CGGAACGUGCCCGAUCGUGGGGGAUAACGCAGCGAAAGCUGUGCUAAUACCGCAUACGAUCUACGGAUGAAAGCGGGGGAUCGCAAGACCUCGCGCGGACGGAGCGGCCGAUGGCAGAUUAGGUAGUUGGUGGGGUAAAGGCUCACCAAGCCUUCGAUCUGUAGCUGGUCUGAGAGGACGACCAGCCACACUGGGACUGAGACACGGCCCAGACUCCUACGGGAGGCAGCAGUGGGGAAUAUUGGACAAUGGGCGAAAGCCUGAUCCAGCAAUGCCGCGUGAGUGAUGAAGGCCUUAGGGUUGUAAAGCUCUUUUACCCGGGAUGAUAAUGACAGUACCGGGAGAAUAAGCCCCGGCUAACUCCGUGCCAGCAGCCGCGGUAAUACGGAGGGGGCUAGCGUUGUUCGGAAUUACUGGGCGUAAAGCGCACGUAGGCGGCUUUGUAAGUUAGAGGUGAAAGCCCGGAGCUCAACUCCGGAACUGCCUUUAAGACUGCAUCGCUAGAAUCAUGGAGAGGUCAGUGGAAUUCCGAGU
rnacentral:rRNA from 1 species